rnacentral:rRNA from 1 species
AUCGAACGCUGGCGGCAGGCUUAACACAUGCAAGUCGAACGAGUGGCGGACGGGUGAGUAAUGUCUGGGAACCUGCCUGAUGGAGGGGGAUAACUACUGGAAACGGUAGCUAAUACCGCAUACCAUAGGAUGUGCCGAGUGGGGAUUAGCUAGUAGUGGGGGUAAAGGUUCACCUAGGCGACGAUCCCUAGAUGGUCUGAGAGGAUGACCAGCGCCACUGGAACUGGGGCACGGUCCAGACGCCUAGGGGGUGUAGCAGAGGGGGAUAUUGGGCAAUGGGCUCAAGCCGGGUACGGCCAUGCCGCGUGGAUGAAGAGGGCCAUCGGGUUGUAAAGUACUUUCAGCUGGGUGGCGGUACGCGCAGAAGAAGCGCCGGCUAACUCCGUGCCAGCCGCCGCGGUAAUUC